rnacentral:piRNA from 1 species
UCUGGUGGUUGGCGAAGUGUCUCUCCUAUGU